AAUAUUUCACACUGGAGGGAACUCUGAUAAAGCAACGCCGCGUGAGUGAAGAAGGUUUUCGGAUCGUAAAAAUCUGUCAUUGGGGAAGAAUAAAUUACGGUACCCGAUGCGGAUGCCCCGGCUAACUACGUUCCAGCCGCCGCGGUAAUACGUAGGGGGCGGGCGUUGUCCGGAAUUACUGGGCGUAAAGGGUACGUAGGCGGCUAUAUAAGUCUGGUGUGAAAUACCAGUGCUUAACCCUGGAAUUGCAUUUGAAACUGUGUAGCUUGAGUGAAGGAGAGGAAAGUGGAAUUCCUAGUGUAGCGGUGAAAUGCGUAGAGAUUAGGAGGAACACCAGUGGCGAAGGCGACUUUCUGGACUGUAACUGACGCUGAGGUACGAAAGCGUGGGUAGCGAACA
rnacentral:rRNA from 1 species